rnacentral:rRNA from 1 species
CCACGCCGUAAACGAUGAUUACUCGUAGUAUGCGAUAUAUUGUAUGCUACUAAGGGAAACCGAUAAGUAAUCCACCUGGGGAGUACGCCGGCAACGGUGAAACUCAAAGGAAUUGACGGGGGCCCGCACAAGCGGAGGAACAUGUGGUUUAAUUCGAUGAUACGCGAGGAACCUUACCCGGGAUUGAAAUGUAUAUGCCGUUUCUCUGAAAGGAGAGACAUUCACUUCGGUGACAUAUAUGUAGGUGCUGCAUGGUUGU